ACAAAUAUCUCCAGAAUUCACACAGACAUUCCAUGAUCUCCCAAAGCAAGGUACGGUGACGAGCUGCAGGCUGGUGGAACUUUGAAAUAAUCAGCGCUUCCCGGUGGCAUGUAACCAAGUCAAAACCCGUUACCCCGGAGAGCCAAGAACCCCCAAGGAAGGGGAGCAAAAUGUGGAGGAGGUGCCUUUUAGUUUGGGGGCUUCUAAGGGGAUGAUCUUUAGGCAGCCAAAAUGAAAAUUCACAGACUCCACCUCCCCACAGAGUGGAGAAAAACAGAAGCCCCGCAACCCCAGAGAACAGGCGCUGGAAUACAGGCAAAUCUAGGAAAGAGGAGUCAAAAGCUGUGCUGAAGACAAGGCGCUAGAGAGAGGACUAGUGAGCCAGGCUGUAGGCAUCCGGGUAGAGAGAGCAGCAAGAGUGACUGAGGCUGCUGGGAAGGAUCCAAUGAGGAUGCGAGAGGGCACUGCCUCCGAAAUCCUGCUCUGAGCUCCCCUCUCUCAGGGCUCUAAGAGUUACCUGCGUCGGGAGCCUCAUGAUUACGAUUAAUCGUCUUCCACCACCAGCACAUUUCCCUCGGAUUUCCCUUGAACCCUCCCAGACCCAGCAACUGUGGGAAGCGUAGUAUCUGGAAGCCCAGCACCGCCACUCUCCCCCUCCUCCCUGUUACCCCCCCACAUGAGCCAGUGAUCACUUUAGCAUGACCAGAUCCUCAGCAUUUGGGGGGAGGGGGGUGUCAACGAGCUGAAGAUGCCGCUGAGGCCGAGUGCAGUCGGGGGCGCUGCGCCCAAGGCUCAGGCAAGGGGACCUGGAUAGAAGCGCAGGGGCUGCAGCGCAGGCGGCGGGAGCUCUCCGAGGUCCUGAUUUCACAGCGAACCCUGCAGCCCGAGACUCAGAGCCAUUGACUCGCAUCUGAAACCUCAGCACCAGAUGGAUUGAGAAGCGAGAGCUUUGGAGGUCCUGGCGCCCGUCCCCCGGGGAGCAGGGGGCAGGCGGCGAGGUGAGCCUCCCGCGCCCCCUCCGAUCCCCGCACGGUCACCGGGGGAGAGCGCCCUGAGAAUGGCUGGGAGGCAGGACGCAUUCUUUGGCCAUUUUCGCAUCCCCGCUCCCCACCCUGCAGGAACGCUCUCCGGCCAGCUCGGUGGGACUGAGGCAGCGAAUGAUAGCGGGAAUCGACAUUUGGCCGGGAUGGAAGCGUUCUUGGCUGCAUUCCAGCCCUAAUGAUGUCAUAAUGCAGAAGUUUUUCUUCAGUCAUCUCAUUUUACCAAAAGGAUGAUUUCUGUAUAUGUCUCUGUGUUUUAUGGAGACUGUGUCUAGCUGGAGGAUCUGAGAGAUCAGCAUAAAAAGGAUGAAUAUCCCAAAUUAC